AUUGAACGCUGGCGGCAGGCUUAACACAUGCAAGUCGAGCGGGGUGAGGUGCUUCGGUACUGAUCCUAGCGGCGGACGGGUGAGUAAUGCUUAGGAAUCUGCCAUUUAGUGGGGGACAACAUUCCGAAAGGAACGCUAAUACCGCAUACGUCCUACGGGAGAAAGCAGGGGAUCUUCGGACCUUGCGCUAAAUGAUGAGCCUAAGUCGGAUUAGCUAGUUGGUGGGGUAAAGGCCUACCAAGGCGACGAUCUGUAGCGGGUCUGAGAGGAUGAUCCGCCACACUGGGACUGAGACACGGCCCAUACUCCUACGGGAGGCAGCAGUGGGGAAUAUUGGACAAUGGGCGGAAGCCUGAUCCAGCCAUGCCGCGUGUGUGAAGAAGGCCUUUUGGUUGUAAAGCACUUUAAGCGAGGAGGAGGCUACCUGGAUUAAUACUCUGGGAUAGUGGACGUUACUCGCAGAAUAAGCACCGGCUAACUCUGUGCCAGCCGCCGCCGUAAUAC
rnacentral:rRNA from 1 species